UGUCUGCAUGAUUUACUAAAUAUGUACAAUUUCAAUUCACAGCGAAGGUAACAAAGAUUUAAACAGCCAACAUCACAAAUGUCUCAAGUUCUAAAAAAAAUUCACUGUGCACAGUUUAACAAUUUAAUUGAAUAAAAACCAAAGCUAAGCCUUCAGUCUGAAUCUUUUUUUUUAUGAUGGGCACAAGCCAUGUAUUUUCUUUAUCUUUGUUUCACAAUGCAUAUUUCAGUGACCAAAAGCCCCUUCCCAUUUUGCUAUAUUAGGCUGUCUCAGUACAUACUUAAAAGAGGCAUAUACAGCCUCUUGGUUCACCAAUACGAUUUGUGAUGUGUUCACAUAUAUGUUGUACUAUUUAUUAAUAUAUAAAAUGAUCAGAUGAGUCACCUGUAGUUUUAUAGUCUUCAAAAGUAGGAAUGUUUUGUGGCAUGUACAAAAUAUUUGAAAUUUACAGGUGUAUAUUUAAGCUAUAAUAAUUUGACCAGCAUCCCCUUGAGAUAAGGUAUCCGGAAAGAACUAUUUUGCUUUUGAAAUAUAGAUUUCACAUCCCUAUCCAAUAAAAGUUUGUAAAGUUUGGUAUUUUAUGAAUCUGAAUGUUGUGUUCAUUCUGAUACAAUGAUAAAGUGAAUGAAGUAAUUAAUAAUUAGAAAAAAAGUCAUUGAAUACAUAAUAGUUGAGUUACAGUUAAGAAGGAAGCCAUAACUUUAGCUACCCUAUAAAAUCUAUAAUAAUGCUGUUUUCACAUAUAUUUUUUCCCACGUAAAUUCUUUGGUGUUUUUCCCCCUUAUUUUUUAGUGCAGUGAUUGAUGAACAUGCAAAUAACUGCAUCGAACAUGUUUAUUUGAAUAAUUGCCCCAUUGCACAAUCAAAUAAAUCUGCUGAGUGUGUUUGUUUGAAUGUUUUUACAUGUACAUGGGAGCACAUACUCAAAUGCAGCUGUGUUUAUUACAGUGUGAGGUGCUUCAGAUAUACACACUUAUUUUUGUGUACAUCCAGGGCCCACAGCCCUUGAAUAGCCUCACACAUCCUGGAGGGACAAGAGUGGUUAACAGUUUUUCAGUUCAAAUACACGUAAACAUAUUAUUGGGCAAUCUCCUCAAAUUUGUGGCUAAGUGUUAAUGUUAUUAAGGCUUACAUCUUCAGAAAUAUUUUUUCAAAUGACCUAUUUUUUAAGUUAUCUGAUUGUGAAAAGUAAUAAGUUUAUUCGCAUUUAUUCAAAGAUAGUCCCUUCUUUCUUCCUUAUUCCAAGUCCUUGCAUUCCACCCCCAGACCAAUUCACACGAAAGAAGAUGAAUGUUCUGUUAAGCUCUUGCUGAAAACUUCUGGUAUCUCUAGUCCCACUUAUUACAGGCCUCAGCCUAUGGUGUCAUGUAAAAAAAAAGUUUGCACAGAUGUGCUAGGAUACAAAAGGCUCUUGAGGAAACGGGCAGGGAUGUUCAGCUGUCCUAAUGUUUCAUUGCCUUCUCUACCCCCUAUUCUAGGGGGAAAAGGGUGAGCCUUAGUACUAAGAGGGUGGGAAGAGUAACUAUUCUGUAAGAGAGACGAGAAUAUAUCUGAUGUUACCGAAAUGCAUGUUUCUUGCUUCUGCAAGGGGAUUUCUUGUUUGUGAUCUCAGAAAGGAAUCUUAGGAUAAAUCAAAGUUUUUAUUCUUCUCUGGAGUUGGAAGAUUAAGGAGCUCUAAUGUGUGAUAGUGUUUGUUAGUGAAUAAAGAGCAUUUUCUAAAAACUCAGAUAUGGGAUAUUGUAGUGAUUGUCACAAAUUUACAAGUGUUAUCUUGCCAUUUUCAGACUGUCGUGAGCCUGCCUGUGAAAUGAAAUCAGCAAAAAAAGGACAGAAAAGGGGGUCACAGGAGGGCAAAGGCAGGAUCUGCCCGCCCUGUCCCCUUUGUGUGCGCUUUCUUCUUCCCAAGGAGGAGGAGUAGGUUGCACAUUCUUGGUCUGUUGGUCCUAUCUCUUGUGGAUUGAGACACAGAUAUGCCCCAUGGGCAGCAGAGACCUACAUUGCUUUAAAGGAGGCCACAGGGAUUGAUUCUACCCAGACAAAAUUUAAUGGCUUGAUAUUUUCAGGUUGAAGUAAUAAAGUUAUCGCCUAGAGCCUUUAAAGCCAGAAAAAUCUAUGUAGUGUAUUUAUUUGUGCCGUUCAAAGAAGGAGAUAUGGGAAUAGAAUUUUCUAAAUUUUCAAAUAUGAAAAUGACAGGCUGUGGAAAACAGUAGCCGUAGCAUUUUGAUGCCACUUUUCCCUGCUCUCUCUCACCUCAGAAAGUUUGAAGGCAGAACUGAGAACAUAUUUUCUAGAAGGAUCUGCUCAUCUACCACUGUAUCUUCAUUAUAUCUUUUCUCUAUGUGUGUGUAUGGGUAUAUAUACAUAUAUAUUUUAAUUGAAGUUGCGAAGAAUGACAUUUGUGAAAUUUAGGAAAAUGUUAUUAUGGCUAAAGAUUAAAUAUAAAUACAUAUUUCUUGCCAACUCGAAAUAUCAUACUUAAAAUUUUAGCAAAUUCAAUAGCAAAAUGAUGCUUUUUCUAAAAUUCUAAAGUAGAAAAAAUAUGUGGACAGCUACUCUUAUAGUUCUGUAUAUUCAAGAGCUGUAAAUUUCAUAAGGUAAUCUUUUUCUCUUAUUUUCACUUGGCAAUUAGAUUUAGGAAGUAGGAUCUGGUUUCUUGAUAAAAGCCAUUAUGUAAAACCUACAAAUACAUUCAUAUUUUGAAUAUUUGGGGUCAUCUUGUAAAGUCUGAAAAAUUAUCUUGGAAAAUCAUGGUUAUUGUUGUUAGUAUUUGCCUUCAGCUUUUCCUCCCUCCCCUACCUUGUAGUCUCAGAUAAAUGGUAAACUACAGUCUGCAUUUCAAAAAAGUGAGAUAAGCUAUCCCAAUUCUUUAAAAAACGUUACAUAUUAUAAAUAACAUUGAAUAAUAUCUGUCUUUUUGAAAUUAGACUUUUUGAAUAAAUCACAAAGACUCCUUGGACAGAGAAGUGAGUUUGUAACAC
rnacentral:lncRNA from 1 species